GCAGGCUUAAUACAUGCAAGUCGUGGGGCAGCGCAGUGUAGCAAUACAUGGGCGGCGACCGGCAAACGGGUGCGGAACACGUACGCAACCUUCCUACAAGUGGGGAAUAGCCCAGAGAAAUUUGGAUUAAUACCCCGUAACAUAUAAAGAUGGCAUCAUUUUUAUAUUAUAGCUACGGCGCUUGUUGAUGGGUGUGCGGCUGAUUAGGUAGUUGGCGGGGUAAUGGCCCACCAAGCCUGCGAUCAGUAGCUGAUGUGAGAGCAUGAUCAGCCACACGGGCACUGAGACACGGGCCCGACUCCUACGGGAGGCAGCAGUAAGGAAUAUUGGACAAUGGGCGCAAGCCUGAUCCAGCCAUGCCGCGUGAAGGAUUAAGGUCCUCUGGAUUGUAAACUUCUUUUAUAAGGGACGAAAAAAGGGAAUUCUUUCUCACUUGACGGUACCCUAUGAAUAAGCACCGGCUAACUCCGUGCCAGCAGCCGCGGUAAUACGGAGGGUGCAAGCGUUAUCCGGAUUCACUGGGUUUAAAGGGUGCGUAGGCGGGUAUUUAAGUCAGUGGUGAAAUCCUAGAGCUUAACUCUAGAACUGCCAUUGAUACUAUUUAUCUUGAAUAUUGUGGAGGUAAGCGGAAUAUGUCAUGUAGCGGUGAAAUGCUUAGAUAUGACAUAGAACACCUAUUGCGAAGGCAGCUUACUACGCAUAUAUUGACGCUGAGGCACGAAAGCGUGGGGAUCAAACAGGAUUAGAUACCCUGGUAGUCCACGCCCCUAAACGAUGGAUACUCGACAUACGCGAUACACUGUGUGUGUCUGAGCGAAAGCAUUAAGUAUCCCACCUGGGAAGUACGACCGCMAGGUUG
rnacentral:rRNA from 1 species